rnacentral:rRNA from 1 species
GACAGAGGGUGCAAACGUUGUUCGGAAUUACUGGGCGUAAAGCGCGUGUAGGCGGCCAUGCAAGUCGGAUGUGAAAGCCCUCGGCUCAACCGGGGAAGUGCACUCGAAACUGCAAGGCUAGAGUCUCGGAGAGGAUCGUGGAAUUCUCGGUGUAGAGGUGAAAUUCGUAGAUAUCGAAGACGGAACACCGGUGGCGAAGGCGGCCUCGUGCGACGAUGACUGACGCUGAGAUGCGAAAGCGUGGGGAGCAAACAGG